GCAGUACAAUUAGGUUUUCAAAUUUCAAAAGAUUAUGCUCUCCCGCGUGAGCUUCGAUUCCUUCCGCCAUCUCGCCCUUUUCACGAUUCUUCACAGCUGUUCUUCAUCUUCUUCUCCGAGUCUUGGUUUCUAAUGGAAGAGUUUUGCUGUUUUGCGAGUUCACAAUUACAUCAUAUAUAUGCAAGAGGCUUGAAAAGGUUGUUUGAGAUUUAUUGUUUGUGACAUCAAGUAUGAUAAUUUGGAUUUAAGAUUUCAUUAUGAUGCAAAAAGGUAUCUAAAUCAUAG